rnacentral:misc_RNA from 1 species
GAUGAAGAACGUAGUGAAAUGCGAUAAGUAAUGUGAAUUGCAGAAUUCAGUGAAUCAUCGAAUCUUUGAACGCACAUUGCGCCCGCCAGUAUUCUGGCGGGCAUGCCUGUCUGAGCGUCAUUUCAACCCUCAUGCCCCUAGGGCGUGGUGUUGGGGAUCGGCCAAAGCCCGCGAGGGACGGCUGGCCCCUAAAUCUAGUGGCGGACCCGUCGUGGCCUCCUCUGCGAAGUAGUGAUAUUCCGCAUCGGAGAGCGAUGAGCCCCUGCCGUUAAACCCCCAACUUUCCAAGGUUGACCUCAGAUCAGGUAGGAAUACCCGCUGAACUUAAGCAUAUCAAUAAGCGGAGGA